rnacentral:rRNA from 1 species
AUCAAGCUUAUCGAUACCGUCGCUAGCGCACAGGGGUGACACGGAAUGGGAGCCGGCCGCGGAGGUGGUUUUCCGUGGUCAAGCACGCAGCCCGUCCCAUAGGCAAAUCCGUGGGACGCAUAGGGUGAGGUGUGAUGAUGGGCGUCUUUGAUGGCGCGAUAUCCGGUGGUCCAGGCCGUCGAGAAAAGCCUCGGCGCGAGGGGCGUCGCCGCCCGUACCCCAAACCGACACUGGUGGUCAGGUAGAGAAUACCAAGGCGAUCGAGCGAAUCCUGGUCAAGGAACUCGGCAAAUCACUCCCGUGCCUUCGGUAUAAGGGAGACCCCCGGGCGUGAAGAGGCUUGCCCUCGGAGCGUUGGGGGGUGGCACAGACCAGGGGGUAGCGACUGUUUACCAAAAACACAGGUGCAUGCGAAGGCGCAAGCCGCUGUAUAUGCACUGACGCCUGCCCGGUGCCGGAAGGUUAAGAGGAUCCGUCAGCCCCUUUUGGGGUGAAGCGGUGAAUUCAAGCCCCGGUAAACGGCGGUGGUAACUAUAACCAUCCUAAGGUAGCGAAAUUCCUUGUCGGGUAAGUUCCGACCUGCACGAAUGGCGUAACGACUUCCCCACUGUCUCGACCAGGAGCUCGGCGAAAUUGCAGUACGAGUAAAGAUGCUCGUUAAGCGCAGAAGGACGAAAAGACCCCGGGACCUUUACUAUACCUUGGUAUUGGCGUUAGGCGCGGAUUGUGUAGCAUAGGCGGGAGGCUUCGAAGCAUGGGCGCCAGCCCGUGUGGAGCCGCAAGGUGAAAUACCGCUCUGUUCUCGUUUGACGUCUAACCUCGAACAGUCAUCCUGUUCAGGGACAGUGCCUGGCGGGUAGUUUAACUGGGGCGGUUGCCUCCCAAAGAGUAACGGAGGCGCUCAAAGGUCCGCUCAGCCCGGUUGGCAAUCGGGUUUCGAGUGUAAUCGCACAAGCGGGCUUGACUGCGAGAACGACGGUUCGGGCAGGGACGAAAGUCGGAGAUAGUGAUCCGGUGCCGGCGCACGGGCGCGGCAUCGCUCAACGGAUAAAAGGUACCCCGGGGAUAACAGGCUGAUCAUUCCCAAGAGUCCAUAUCGACGGGAUGGUUUGGCACCUCGAUGUCGGCUCGUCGCAUCCUGGGGCUGGAGCAGGUCCCAAGGGUUCGGCUGUUCGCCGAUUAAAGCGGCACGCGAGCUGGGUUCAGAACGUCGUGAGACAGUUUGGUCUCUAUCCUCUGCGCUCGUUGGAAUCCUGAGGAGGCCUGCCCAUAGUACGAGAGGACCUGGGUGGACGGACCUCUGGUAUGCCGGUUGUCGCGCCAGCGGCAUGGCCGGUUGGCUACGUUCGGGAGGGAUAACCGCUGAAAGCAUCUAAGCGGGAAGCCUGCUCCAAGAUUAGGAUUCCUUGGCACUUCGGUGCCUGUAGCCCGCAUGUUGAACACGUGUUCGAUAGGCCGGAGGUGGAAGCCCCGCGAGGGGUGGAGCCGACCGGUACUAACGGGCGAACGCGGCACACU